UACGAAGGGGGCUAGCGUUGCUCGGAAUCACUGGGCGUACAGCGCACGUAGGCGGCUUUCUAAGUCAGGGGUGAAAUCCCGGAGCUCAACUCCGGAACUGCCUUUGAUACUGGAAAGCUUGAGUUCGGGAGAGGUGAGUGGAACUGCGAGUGUAGAGGUGAAAUUCGUAGAUAUUCGCAAGAACACCAGUGGCGAAGGCGGCUCACUGGCCCGAUACUGACGCUGAGGUGCGAAAGCGUGGGGAGCAAACAGG
rnacentral:rRNA from 1 species